UUUAUGUUGUCUGCUUUUU
rnacentral:sRNA from 1 species